rnacentral:rRNA from 1 species
GACGAACGCUGGCGGCGUGCCUAAUACAUGCAAGUAGAACGCACAGGAUGCACCGUAGUUUACUACACCGUAUUCUGUGAGUUGCGAACGGGUGAGUAACGCGUAGGUAACCUGCCUGGUAGCGGGGGAUAACUAUUGGAAACGAUAGCUAAUACCGCAUAAGAACAUUUACUGCAUGGUAGAUGUUUAAAAGGUGCAAAAGCAUCACUACCAGAUGGACCUGCGUUGUAUUAGCUAGUUGGUGAGGUAACGGCUCACCAAGGCAACGAUACAUAGCCGACCUGAGAGGGUGAUCGGCCACACUGGGACUGAGACACGGCCCAGACUCCUACGGGAGGCAGCAGUAGGGAAUCUUCGGCAAUGGGGGGAACCCUGACCGAGCAACGCCGCGUGAGUGAAGAAGGUUUUCGGAUCGUAAAGCUCUGUUGUUAAGGAAGAACGUGUGUGAGAGUGGAAAGUUCACACAGUGACGGUACUUAACCAGAAAGGGACGGCUAACUAC